AACGAACGCUGGCGGCAUGCCUAACACAUGCCAGUCGAACGAUCCCUUCGGGGAUAGUGGCGCGCGGGUGCGUAACGCGUGGGAACCUGCCCUUAGGUUCGGAAUAACUCAGAGAAAUUUGAGCUAAUACCGGAUAAUGUCUUCGGACCAAAGAUUUAUCGCCUUUGGAUGGGCCCGCGUUGGAUUAGCUAGUUGGUGGGGUAAAGGCCUACCAAGGCGACGAUCCAUAGCUGGUCUGAGAGGAUGAUCAGCCACACUGGGACUGAGACACGGCCCAGACUCCUACGGGAGGCAGCAGUGGGGAAUAUUGGACAAUGGGCGAAAGCCUGAUCCAGCAAUGCCGCGUGAGUGAUGAAGGCCUUAGGGUUGUAAAGCUCUUUUACCCGGGAUGAUAAUGACAGUACCGGGAGAAUAAGCCCCGGCUAACUCCGUG
rnacentral:rRNA from 1 species